GGGGACGACAUGGCUUCGACGGAGGAAUGAGCGCCGUGGAUUGCAUGCCGAGGUCCGUAAGGCUCCUCGUAAAAAAGCGUUACACUAAACACAAAUGCAGAUGAUUAUGCAUACGCAAUGGCUGCCUAAGUAAUUAGUGCAACCACAUCCUGAGUGACCGGUGCCAUCCUGGUUGCUCCGGAUGACGACAAUGAUGGCUGGCCUGCUCUGUUGGUCUGGACGGAACAGGCGAGACCUUACAGACUGGCUGCCGGACGGCUCUGUUCCUCGUGCCCACGGCAGUGAGAUCAAACGACGAACUAAGCAUGUAGAUGUCCUCGGGACUUGUCCUUCGGACGCGGGUUCGAUUCCCGCCGUCUCCACUA
rnacentral:tmRNA from 1 species